rnacentral:rRNA from 1 species
CCUACGGGGGGCUGCAGUGGGGAAUAUUGCACAAUGGGCGCAAGCCUGAUGCAGCCAUGCCGCGUGUGUGAAGAAGGCCUUCGGGUUAUAAAGCACUUUCAGCGGGGAGGAAGGCGUUAAGGUUAAUAACCUUGGCGAUUGACGUUACCCGCAGAAGAAGCACCGGCUAACUCCGUGCCAGCAGCCGCGGUAAUACGGAGGGUGCAAGCGUUAAUCGGAAUUACUGGGCGUAAAGCGCACGCAGGCGGUCUGUCAAGUCGGAUGUGAAAUCCCCGGGCUCAACCUGGGAACUGCAUUCGAAACUGGCAGGCUAGAGUCUUGUAGAGGGGGGUAGAAUUCCAGGUGUAGCGGUGAAAUGCGUAGAGAUCUGGAGGAAUACCGGUGGCGAAGGCGGCCCCCUGGACAAAGACUGACACUCAGGUGCGAAAGCGUGGGGAGCAAACAGGAUUAGAUACCCGAGUAGUC